GAUGAACGCUGGCGGCGUGCUUAACACAUGCAAGUCGAACGAACUCAUUCUUCGGAACGGGUUAGUGGCAGACGGGUGCGUAACACGUAGGUGACCUGCCUCGAAGUGGGGAAUAACUAUCCUAACGGAUGGCUAAUACCGCAUGUGCCCGGUGAUUCAUUUCGCCGUGUAAAGUCGCAAGACGCUUCGAGAUGGGCCUGCGGCGGAUUAGGUAGUUGGUGGGGUAAUAGCCUACCAAGCCGAUGAUCCGUAGGGGGCGUGAGAGCGUGGCCCCCCACACUGGCACUGAGAUACGGGCCAGACUCCUACGGGAGGCUG
rnacentral:rRNA from 1 species